CAGCGAUCUGACAUUAUCUGGCAUUAUGCUACAUACUUAGGGAUUUACAAUCCUUACCGAAGACAAAUAACCUAUAAAUCUGUACGUCUUUGGAGUGUGGGAGGAAACUAGAGCACCCGGGAGAAAACCCACGCAGACCAAGGUGAAUGCCCAGAG